AGUGAACGCUGGCGGUAGGCCUAACACAUGCAAGUCGAACGGCAGCACAGUAAGAGCUUGCUCUUACGGGUGGCGAGUGGCGGACGGGUGAGGAAUACAUCGGAAUCUACUUUUUCGUGGGUGAUAACGUAGGGAAACUUACGCUAAUACCGCAUAUGACCUACGGGUGAAAGCAGUGGAUCUUCGGACCUUGCGCGAUUGUAUGAGCCGAUGUCGGAUUAGCUAGUUGGCGGGGUAAAGGCCCACCAAGGCGACGAUCCGUAGCUGGUCUGAGAGGAUGAUCAGCCACACUGGAACUGAGACACGGUCCAGACUCCUACGGGAGGCAGCAGUGGGGAAUAUUGGACAAUGGGCGAAAGCCUGAUCCAGCCAUACCGCGUGAGUGAAGAAGGCCUUCGGGUUGUAAAGCCCUUUUGUUGGGAAAGAAAAGCAGCAGGUUAAUACCCCGCUGUUCUGACGGUACCCAAAGAAUAAGCACCGGCUAACUUCGUG
rnacentral:rRNA from 1 species